UGUUUUGUUCAUUUCUUGUGUCGGAAGGAAACGAAAGAAGAAUAACAUACCUGGAGUUAAGAUGUCAAAUUUGUCAAUGUAGUGUGAACUAGUUAAGCCAUCUUUGGAACCGUUGGAGUCGUUGGCGAGCCUUUUCCUGAUGGAGGGCCGACAAGCCAUUCUGUAGGAGACUUCUCCUUCCCCCUUGUCUGGUCCGGAACAGAUAAUCUUCCGUGUCUAAGACGUAAGAUAUCU
rnacentral:lncRNA from 1 species